CAGUCGCCACGGUAACACGUAGGGUGCAAGCGUUAAUCGGAAUUACUGGGCGUAAAGCGUGCGCAGGCGGUUAUAUAAGACAGUCGUGAAAUCCCCGGGCUCAACCUGGGAACUGCGAUUGUGACUGUAUGGCUAGAGUGUGUCAGAGGGGGGUAGAAUUCCACGUGUAGCAGUGAAAUGCGUAGAUAUGUGGAGGAAUACCGAUGGCGAAGGCAGCCCCCUGGGAUAACACUGACGCUCAUGCACGAAAGCGUGGGGAGCAAACAGGAUUAGAUACCCCCGUAGUCCCUGUCUCUUAUAC
rnacentral:rRNA from 1 species